ensembl:snRNA U6 U6 spliceosomal RNA
GUGCUUGCUUCGGCAGCACACAUACUAAUAUUGAAACGAUACAGAGAAGAUUAGCAUGGGCCCUGCACAAAGAUAACACACUAGUUUGUGAAGCGGUCCAUAUUUUU